CAUUGGCCGUCACGAGAUGUGCGACGGAGUCCGGUACGGCCAAAGAAAAUCAGACGUCCAUCGCACCGAAGCUGCUCUGUACAGGGAGUUUCGGCCCGAACACGGGAGAGAACGCUGAGCGUUACAAC
rnacentral:ncRNA from 1 species